GGGCGCCGUAAGUUAAGUGGUAAAAUUUCCUGCUUCGGGUGCAGGAGGCCCCGGUUCGAUUCGCGGGCGCCCA
rnacentral:tRNA from 1 species